UACGGAGGGUGCAAGCGUUAUCCGGAUUCACUGGGUUUAAAGGGUGCGUAGGUGAGCAGGUAAGUCAGUGGUGAAAUCUCCGAGCUUAACUCGGAAACUGCCAUUGAUACUAUCUGUCUUGAAUAUCCUGGAGGUGAGCGGAAUAUGUCAUGUAGCGGUGAAAUGCUUAGAUAUGACAUAGAACACCAAUUGCGAAGGCAGCUCACUACGGGAUUAUUGACACUGAGGCACGAAAGCGUGGGGAUCAAACAGG
rnacentral:rRNA from 1 species